AAAAGACCAGACGUCCCUCUCGUCCCUCUCCUGGCAGGAGUUGGGAGGGGAUUGGUUUGAAGAAGGAGUCGAGGUUUUAAGGUGCCUGUCACGUCCUCAACUGCGUUCUCCCAGCAGCUCGUCCUGCCAGUUUUCGCCUCACGAUCCCUAAACGUAUUUCCCGGAGAAUCCAGCCUGGCUUGGACUCAAAGGGAACGGGGAAAGGGCUAAGGCGUCCAUGGCCCAAGUCUCCAUGCAGGCAGAUGUUUACAAAUACUGCCAGUUCACUGAUUUGACCUACCCAGAGAUUUGCAAAGAUCUUCACUACGUAGCGGAAUCCUAGCUGGCCUUACUUGUCGUCAAACCAACGUUAUUUGGGAACACAGCAACAACAACACUACAACUUAAACAGGAAUCAUAUACAGGAGCAGAAUGCUGUGGUUUGAAGGAGAAAGGCUCCCCACAGGCGCGGGUGUUUGAACACUUGGUCCCCAGUUGGUGGCACUGGCUGGGGUGGGGAUUAUGGAAACUUUAGGAGAUAUGGCCUUGCUGGAGGAAGUAUGCGACUGGGAGAGGCUUUUGGUGUUUAUUCCUUUACCCCACAUCAUUUCUCUUUUUCUGCUUCCUGCGUGAGGGUAAGAUGGGAUCUCUUGGUUUCCUGCCUCUACUGCCAUAUCGUAUUCCCCACCGUUAUUGACAUCCAAGUCUCUGGAACCCUAAGCCAAAAU